CCUACGGGUGGCAGCAGUGAGGAAUAUUGGUCAAUGGCCGGAAGGCUGAACCAGCCAAGCCGCGUGAAGGACGAAGGUGCCAAGCAUUGUAAACUUCUUUUGUCAAGGGACAAAAUCAGGCUCGAGAGCCUGACCGAGGGUACUUGAAGAAAAAGCAUCGGCUAACUCCGUGCCAGCAGCCGCGGUAAUACGGAGGAUGCGAGCGUUAUCCGGAUUUAUUGGGUUUACAGGGUGCGUAGGCGGACUGUUAAGUCAGCGGUAAAAGCCCGGGGCUCAACCCCGGCGAGCCGUUGAAACUGGCUGUCGUGAGGUGGCGAGAGGUAUGCGGAAUGCGCGGUGUAGCGGUGAAAUGCUUAGAUAUUGCGCAGAACUCCGAUUGCGAAGGCAGCAUACCGGCGGCACACUGACGCUGAGGCACGAAAGCGUGGGUAUCGAACAGGAUUAGAUACCCCUGUAGUC
rnacentral:rRNA from 1 species